rnacentral:rRNA from 1 species
UACGGAGGGGGCUAGCGUUGUUCGGAAUUACUGGGCGUAAAGCGCACGUAGGCGGCUUUGUAAGUUAGAGGUGAAAGCCCGGGGCUCAACUCCGGAAUUGCCUUUAAGACUGCAUCGCUAGAAUUGUGGAGAGGUAAGUGGAAUUCCGAGUGUAGAGGUGAAAUUCGUAGAUAUUCGGAAGAACACCAGUGGCGAAGGCGGCGACCUGGUCCUAUACUGACACUCAUACACGAAAGCGUGGGGAUCAAACAGG